AUACGGAGGGUGCAAGCGUUAAUCGGAAUUACUGGGCGUAAAGCGUGCGUAGGAGGUUUGUUAAGUCAGAUGUGAAAGCCCCGGGCUCAACCUGGGAACUGCAUUUGAAACUGGCAUACUAGAGUAUAGGAGAGGAAAGUGGAAUUUCAGGUGUAGCGGUGAAAUGCGUAGAUAUCUGAAGGAACAUCAAUGGCGAAGGCAGCUUUCUGGACUAAUACUGACACUGAGGUACGAAAGCGUGGGUAGCAAACAGGAUUAGAAACCCUAGUAGUCC
rnacentral:rRNA from 1 species